CACCUCAUCCUCCUAUUACAACCUAGAAGACUGUAAUCUUCAUAGUCACCACUGUGUGAACCUCAAAUCCAACAAAUCAACAAAUGUCAUAUAACAUUUACAGAACCAACGAUAGACCUAGUCUCAGUGAUUGGACAGUGGAUGCAAUGAUCGAUGGCACAUAUUCCUCCUGGGUGAGAGAUUACCUCCACUGGAUAAAAAAGAAAACUGAUCAUAAAGUUAUAAUAACAAACAACUGAUCUCAAAAUUAUGUCAAUUCUGUAUCACCUAACACAUACAGUCCCUUGCCCAGCAGGUAUAUACACACCACUGAACUUUACAUUAUGUCCAGUAUUUGAGACUAGCUCCUUCUAAUGGAAACCAUCAGAUUAAAUUCCCUUGACUUUAUCCUGAAUUCAGAAGAUAACCACCUUCUAAAAUGUAUUUUAGUAAAAGAUAAAUUUAAAUAGUGGAUAACAAUCCAGGGUAUCAAAACUAACUCUGAUUUUUCACUUUAAUUCUUUUAAGACACAGCUUACUGACUGCAUAUUGGGUACUUGAAAAUUUGUUGUCAGCCAUGAAGUUAACCAUUACUCACCUCCAUAUUGAGAUGUAGUAAUCUUACUGAACUGUUCUUCUUGCAAUUAAAUAUGUAUGUCAUCUUGUACUCUACAUCUUAGACACAACACUGUAAUUGUAUUUCACACUGCAGUAUGUACUAAUCAAAUUAUAUACUAAUGGCAAUGAAACUUCUUUUUGGGGUUAUGCUUAGGCUAGGUGAUUAAAAAAAAAGGGAGGCAGCAGAAGCUCCCAUGAAUAUAAAAUUAGCACACUGUGCAUAUGAGAAUUAUAAAAACAGAUUAUGAGAAACCCAUCAUCAAUAAUUGUAGGGUGACUGCAAAAAGCUAAGGAAGAUGGAAUCAAUCUGUUUUUCUAUGACAUAUUAAAAAAUCAUUGUAUUCUAUUUUUGAUAUGUGAUUCUCAAAGAAGUGUUAUGUAAACUUACAAUUGUAACCCAUCACAACCAAAAAUUAUAGUGCUGAUUAAAUAAAUAAUUUAAUUGGAGUUAAGAUGAAAGUAAGUCAGGUUUCAAAACAAUGUUCACAGAAACAGCCCAAUAUUCAGGUAUAACAGAAAAUCUAUGAUGGAAUAUGAAUCAACUAAAAAUAUGAAACUUCCUCUACAGCAUUCUAGCUGAAUCAUUUGUGAUUAAAAAUUACCACCAUAGCAAAGGAAAGUAAUGACACCUAAUAUUAAUGCCUUGUUACCUCUUUCCAUUUCCUCUGCUACAGAUGGUGACACUGAAAUACAAUAUAGAACAGCUCAAACUUAUCCAUGCCAUCACCUGGAUAUGAACCCUUCCAGUUACAGAGAGUGGCAUUAGUACUGAGCCACCUGUGUAU